rnacentral:rRNA from 1 species
UACGUAGGGGGCUAGCGUUGUCCGGAAUCAUUGGGCGUAAAGCGCGCGUAGGCGGCCCGGUAAGUCCGCUGUGAAAGUCAAAGGCUCAACCUUUGAAUGUCAGCGGAUACUGCCGGGCUAGAGUCCGGAAGAGGCGAGUGGAAUCCUGGUGUAGCGGUGAAUGCGCAGAUAUCAGGAGGAACACCGGUGGCGAAGGCGGGUCUCUGGGCAGUAACUGACGCUGAGGAGCGAAAGCGUGGGGAGCGAACAGG